GAGUUUGAUCGUGGCUCAGGACGAACGCUGGCGGCGUGCUUAACACAUGCAAGUCGAACGAGAAUCUACUGAAAGAGUUUUCGGACAAUGGAAGUAGAGGAAAGUGGCGGACGGGUGAGUAACGCGUGAGGAACCUGCCUUGAAGAGGGGACAACAGUUGGAAACGACUGCUAAUACCGCAUGAUGCAUAAGGGUCGCAUGAUUCUUAUGCCAAAGAUUUAUCGCUUCAAGAUGGCCUCGCGUCUGAUUAGCUAGUUGGCGGGGUAACGGCCCACCAAGGCGACGAUCAGUAGCCGGACUGAGAGGUUGAACGGCCACAUUGGGACUGAGAUACGGCCCAGACUCCUACGGGAGGCAGCAGUGGGGAAUAUUGGGCAAUGGGCGCAAGCCUGACCCAGCAACGCCGCGUGAAGGAAGAAGGCUUUCGGUAUGUAAACUUCUAUCAGCAGGGAAGAAAAUAGACGGUACCUGACUAAGAAGCCCGGCUAACUACGUGCCAGCCGCCGCAGUAAU
rnacentral:rRNA from 1 species